GAUGAACGCUAGCUACAGGCUUAACACAUGCAAGUCGAGGGGAAACGGCAUUGUGUGUUUGCACUCUUUGGACGUCGACCGGCGCACGGGUGAGUAACGCGUAUCCAACCUUCCCAUUACUGUGGGAAAACCUGCCGAAAGGCAGACUAAUACCGCAUAGUCUUCGAUGACGGCAUCAGAUUUGAAGAAAAGAUUUAUCGGUAAUGGAUGGGGAUGCGUCUGAUUAGCUUGUUGGCGGGGUAACGGCCCACCAAGGCUACGAUCAGUAGGGGUUCUGAGAGGAAGGUCCCCCACAUUGGAACUGAGACACGGACCAAACUCCUACGGGAGGCAGCAGUGAGGAAUAUUGGUCAAUGGACGGAAGUCUGAACCAGCCAAGUAGCGUGCAGGAUGACUGCCCUAUGGGUUGUAAACUGCUUUUGUAUGGGGAUAAAGUUAGGGACGUGUCCCUAUUUGCAGGUACCAUACGAAUAAGGACCGGCUAAUUCCGUG
rnacentral:rRNA from 1 species